rnacentral:snoRNA from 1 species
UGCUGCAAUAGAAAUUCAGUAUCUGGCAUAGUUGGUUUUCUUGCCUUUGUGCAUGUAUUCCUAUUGAUACAGUA